GUCAGAACAGCCGUGCUUCAAGCGUUCCUGGAGCCCAAGCUCUCCUCCACAGGUGAAGACAGGGCCAGCAGCAGACACCAUGGGGCACCUCUCAGCCCCACUUCACAGAGUGCGUGUCCCCUGGCAGGGGCUUCUGCUCACAGCCUCACUUCUAACCUUCUGGAACCCACCCACCACUGCCCAGCUCACUACUGAAUCCACGCCAUUCAAUGUCGCAGAGGGGAAGGAGGUUCUUCUACUCGUCCACAAUCUGCCCCAGAAUCCUCUUGGCUACAACUGGUACAAAGGGGAAAUGGUGGACGCCAACCAUCGAAUUAUAGGAUAUGUAAUAUCAGAUCAACUAACUACCCCAGGGCCUGCAUACAGCAGUCGAGAGAAAAUAUACCCCAAUGCAUCCCUGCUGAUCCAGAACGUCACCCAGAAUGACACAGGAUUCUACACCCUACAAGUCAUAAAGUCAGAUCUUGUGAAUGAAGAAGCAACUGGACAGUUCCAUGUAUACCCGGAGACUCCCAAGCCCUUCAUCUCCAGCAACAACUCCAACCCCGUGGAGGACAACGAUGCUGUGGCCUUAACCUGUGAACCUGGGACUCAGGACACAACCUACCUGUGGUGGAUAAACAAUCAGAGCCUCCUGAUCAGUCCCAGGCUGCAGCUGUCCAAUGGCAACAGGACCCUCACUCUACUCAGUGUCACAAGGAAUGACGCAGGACCCUAUGAGUGUGAAAUACAGAACCCAGUGAGUGCGAACCGCAGUGACCCAGUCACCUUGAAUGUCACCUAUGGCCCGGACACCCCCACCAUUUCCCCUUCAGACACCUAUUACCGUCCAGGGGCAAACCUCAGCCUCUCCUGCUAUGCAGCCUCUAACCCACCUGCACAGUACUCCUGGCUUAUCAAUGGAACAUUCCAGCAAAGCACACAAGAGCUCUUUAUCCCCAACAUCACUGUGAAUAAUAGUGGAUCCUAUACCUGCCACGCCAAUAACUCAGUCACUGGCCGCAACAGGACCACAGUCAAAACGAUCAUAGUCACUGAGUCUCCCGUCCUCGGAGAGGAUGAAGCUGUCCCAGGGCAACACCACCCUCAGCAUAAACCCUGUCAAGAGGGAGGAUGCGGGGAAGUAUUGGUGUGAGGUCUUCAACUCAAUCAGUAAGAACCAAAGCGACCCCAUCAUGCUGACCGUAAAGUGUAAGUGACUCCUCACCCCUUCCUAUGUCCCUGGAGGAUCACUCUGUCAAUGGUGUGCAAAAUGGAUAAAACUCACAGGAGGCAGAAUAUCAAUGAAGAGACCAUUAUAGCAAACAGAAUUGUAAAGUGGUUAAGAGCUCAGCUCAGGCCGGGCGCAGUGGCUCACACCUGUAAUUCCAGCAAUUUGGGAGGCCGAGGCGGGCGGAUCACGAGGUCAGGAGAUCGAGCCCAUCCUGGCUAAUAUGGUGAAACCCCAUCUCUACUAAAAAUACAAAAAAAAAUUAGCUGGGCGUGGUGGCAGGUGCCUGUAGUCCCAGCUACUCCGGAGGCUGAGGCGGGAGAAUGGCGUGAACCCGGGAGGCGGAGCUUUCAGUGAGCCAAGACCGCACCACUGCACUCCAGUCUGGGCAAGAGCAAGACUCUGUCUC
rnacentral:sRNA from 1 species